GAUGAACGCUGGCGGCGUGCCUAAUACAUGCAAGUCGAGCGAACGGACGAGAAGCUUGCUUCUCUGAUGUUAGCGGCGGACGGGUGAGUAACACGUGGAUAACCUACCUAUAAGACUGGGAUAACUUCGGGAAACCGGAGCUAAUACCGGAUAAUAUUUUGAACCGCAUGGUUCAAAAGUGAAAGACGGUCUUGCUGUCACUUAUAGAUGGAUCCGCGCUGCAUUAGCUAGUUGGUAAGGUAACGGCUUACCAAGGCAACGAUGCAUAGCCGACCUGAGAGGGUGAUCGGCCACACUGGAACUGAGACACGGUCCAGACUCCUACGGGAGGCAGCAGUAGGGAAUCUUCCGCGAUGGGCGAAAGCCUGACGUAGCAACGCCGCGUGAGUGAUGAAGGUCUUCGGAUCGUAAAACUCUGUUAUUAGGGAAGAACAUAUGUGUAAGUAACUGUGCACAUCUUGACGGUACCUAAUCAGAAAGCCACGGCUAACUACGUG
rnacentral:rRNA from 1 species